GAAGGUAUAGCUCAGUGGUAGAGUGCGUGCUUAGCAUGCAUGAGGUCGUGUUUUCAAUCCCCAGUACCUCCA
rnacentral:tRNA from 1 species